rnacentral:lncRNA from 10 species
UUGCCAUAUGCUGUUGGUUAGAAGCAAGUCACUAAUCCAGCCCAGGCUUCAAGGGAAAGGGAUCACACCAGGGCCUGAAUACCAGGAAGCAGGGAUCACUGGGGAUCAUAUUCCAGGCAGCCUACUGCAGGGGAUAAUCUCCACUCUAAGGGGCAGGCCUCAACAGGGCAGCCACAUCAGAAUACAAGAAAACCUCCAGAGUCAUGUGGUAAGGACGACAUGCAUUCAGCAACAGGAUGCUUGAAUAAGCCUUUCAACUGUGGCUUGCAGAAUGGCCACAUUAGUAUCAGUUGGGAAACAUUUAAAAAAUACCAAUGCCCAGGCGCUACGCAAGACCAGUUAGAUCACAAUCUUCAGGGCAUGGGUUUUUUCUAAUUUUUAAAUUCCCCAGAUAAUUCUAUUGCACAACUGAGGUUAAGAACUAUGGCUUCAGGCCAGGUGCGGUGGCUCACACCUUUAAUCCCAGCACUUUGGGAGGCUGAGGCAGGCAGAUCACCUGAGGUAAGGAGUUUGAGACCAGCCUGGCCAACAUGGUGAAACCCCAUCUCUACUAAAAAUGCCAACAAAUUUAGCUGGGCAUGGUGGCGCGCCUGUAAUCCCAGCUACUUGGGAGGCUGAGGCAAGAAUCACUUGAACCCGUGAGGCGGAGCUUGCAGUGAGCUAAGACUGUGCCACUGCACUCCAGCCUGGGCAACAGGUUAAGACUCCGUCUCCAAAAAAAAAAAAAAAAAAAAAAAGACACAGAACUAUGGCUUCAUAUGAAAAUUUUCAAAUGCUACAGUGAAGUAGUGGUAAAGAUUACUAGUGCAAAAGAUGAUGUGAGGCUCAGCAGCUUGGACUUCUGCUGGGGAAUCUGUGGAUUGGAAAAGUGGGCCUUAAAGAGUGUUGGAACCAUCUCGGAGGUGAGCCAAUAAGGCUGACAAGAGAUUUAUGACUUUCUAUGAUUGCCUAUCUUAGCAAAAGUCCCAUCAAGUCAUGAUGCUGGGGAAAAUACAUCCAAGAGUUAGGAAUACAGAAAGAAAGGAAGGUGGUGGGAGGAAGGAAGGAAGGAAACCUAUAUGAAGCCAAUCUGAAAAGGCUUCAUGAUGUAUGAUUUCAACUACAUGACAUUCCGAAGAAGGCAAAGCUAUCGAGGCAGUAAAAAGGUCAGUUGUUGCCAGGAGUUUAGAGUGAAAGAAGGGACAAACAGGUGGAGCACAGAGUAGUUUUAGGGCAGUGAGACUACUCUGUAUGAUCCUGCAGUGGUGGAUAAUGUCAUUAUACAGUUGUUCAAGCCCAUGGAAUGUACACCACACCAAGAGUGAAACCUAAUGUGAACUAUGGAGUUUGGGUGAUGAUGAUGUGUCAGUACAGGGUUGUUGAUUACAACAAAGGUACCAUUUGAGUGGGGACAUUGCUAAUGGUAGAGGCUGUGCAUGCAUGGGAGCAGGGGGCAUAUGACAUAUGCCAAGUUUCCUCCAAAUUUCGCUGUGAACCUAAAAGUGUUCUUAAAAAAUAGUCUUUUUUAAGAGACAGGGUCUUGCUCUGUUGCCCAGGCUAGAGUUCAAUAGCACAAUCACAGCUCACUGUGGCCUCAACCUCCCAGGUUCAAGGGAUCCUCCUGCCUCUACCUCCAGAGUAGCUAGGACUAUAGGCACACGCCACCAUGCCUGGCUAAUUUAAAAUUUUUUGUACAAACAGGGUCUCACCACGUUGCCCAGGCUGGUCUCAAACUCAAAAGCAAUCCUCCCACCUUGGCCUCCCCAAAGUGCUGGGAUUACAGGUAUGAGCCACUACACUUGGCAUUUAUUUUAAAUAAAAUUUUUUAAAAAGAGACAAAAAGAAACCUAUCUAUUGUUAAAACUUGUCCUCAACUCCAGCUGAUGACUACAAAGAAAUGGAAACAAAAUGAAGACUCAAUAAAAGUGCCCAUAAUCUUCUAGUCUCCAGUCUGUAGAGACACAGAAGGUGAGAACUGGAGAGGCCUUAGAGGUCAGCUCACCAAUGCCUUUGUUUUGUGGUUGAGGAAAUCGAGACAUGAGGUCACUGGGAGGUAAUGGCCUUGCUAGGAUUAGAACUCACAUCUUCAAACCUGAGCCCAGUGCUCUACCUGAAGACUUUCCACAUACAGGGCAUGACUGUCAAUGGGGCAUGUUGGACUCCUUCCUGCACACCAGCGCGUGAGAAUGAGGCAUACUGAAGAGUUAGUCAAGGGAGAGAACAUGCACCCUCUUAUGGGAACACCAUGGCCUUUCACAUAAAUGUUUCACUGAGGGCUGGUUCACAGGAGGUUGGUGGUACAUGACCAGUACUGCAACAGUUAAUUUACUCUGUCUCAUGGGAACAAGUCAAUAGGUUGAUCGUAGUCGCUGAGUCUAACAUGCUCCCAGCUUGAGCUGCACCCACUCUGUAAACAGCCCCUAAUGGUAGCAGCUUUACCCACAACAAUAAAACGGCUCCAUCUUCAGGCAAGUCCAACCUUUACCUCUCCUCCCUGCCCCUCGCCUGCCUGAUUUUAGACACUGUUCUCAUUCCCAGGGACCGGGUUGCUCCCAACUUGUUGCCAUAGCCACAGGCCUCACCCAAAGCAUACCAACGCUGUAAUGCUCACAGAUCUUGGCAGACAUCCAGGCAGAUGCAGAGCAGUUGGGGUGAAUAACGUUCUCCUCUGAAAGCUGGGCCAAGGCUGUUUGGUUGCACUCUCUCCGCUGUCGGCUUGAGUCUUAUAGAGCUGUCCAUUUGGCUGCCUGGCUGUGAAUGAGCCAUGGUUGUUAAUUUCUUUCCCCUGCAUCAGCUUCUUGGGAGCCUCUAACACAAAACUUAAACAAAGAGCUAAAUCAGGCUGUUCCCAGAGCUCCGGACCCUGGCUGUUUACCAAACACUGAAAACGUUACCAGUUGCCACCAGUCCCAAAUCUCUAAUCUCUUCUAUCUAAAAGUCGUGAGGAAUGUUGUCCCGAGAGGUCCAGGCCUGGCCCAUCUGUGAUGCUCUUGGGUGUCCGUUUCAACAUCGCAGUCCUAGCAGAAGGUCAACUGCCUCAGGUGUGUGCAGUCACUUACUGGCCCUGGAAAUGUACAUCCAGAACAGAAUAUUAUCUUCCUGGCAGCCGUCCCAUUCAGCCUGUGCAUGGAGCUGUCCCAAGACCUGAGCCUUCUUAGUUUGGUGAUGCUUCACUAUGGCUUCAACUCUCCAACUUCUGCCCUCCAAGACCAUAGUGAUAAGAAAACAAAGAUCAACUACCCCCGAGCUGGGAGGAGGACUCCUUUUUUCUCUGUACAGCCUUUUAUAUGUUUAACUUGCUUACCAUGUAAUAUGGAUAACCUAUGAAAAAGAUUUCACGUGUAUACCUUUUUAAAUCACUUACUCUACUUGUUUGUGAAGACAAAAAUAAAUUUAAAAAAUGCCACAGACUUCUUGCAAGUUAAAGAAAAAAAUUCAGCUUCCUGUGUAAUAAGAAAUAUUGUAAGUCACACUCGUAGUCCGAGCUAUUUGGGAAAUUGUGGUGGGAGGAACACUUGAGCCCAGGAGUUCGAGACUGCAGUGAGCUAUAAUGGUGCCCACUGCACUCCCAUCUGGGCAACAGAGCAAGGAAUCAUCUCUA